GACGAACGCUGGCGGCGUGCUUAACACAUGCAAGUCGAACGGUAAGGCCCUUCGGGGUACACGAGUGGCGAACGGGUGAGUAACACGUGGGUGAUCUGCCCUGCACUUCGGGAUAAGCCUGGGAAACUGGGUCUAAUACCGGAUAGGACUCCUGGCUUCAUGGUUGGGGGUGGAAAGCUUUUGCGGUGUGGGAUGGGCCCGCGGCCUAUCAGCUUGUUGGUGGGGUAAUGGCCUACCAAGUCGACGACGGGUAGCCGGCCUGAGAGGGUGACCGGUCACACUGGGACUGAGAUGCGGCCCAGACUCCUCCGGGAGGCAGCAGUGGGGAAUAUUGCACAAUGGGCGCAAGCCUGAUGCAGCGACGCCGCGUGAGGGAUGACGGCCUUCGGGUUGUAAACCUCUUUCAGCUAUGACGAAGCGCAAGUGACGGUAGUAGCAGAAGAAGGACCGGCCAACUACGUGCCAGCAGCCGCCGUAA
rnacentral:rRNA from 1 species